rnacentral:rRNA from 1 species
UACGGGGGGGGCAAGCGUUGUUCGGAUUUACUGGGCGUAAAGGGCGCGUAGGCGGCAAUUCAAGUCAGCUGUGAAAUCUCCGGGCUUAACUCGGAACGGUCAGCUGAUACUGCUUUGCUAGAGUGCGGAAGGGGCAAUCGGAAUUCUCGGUGUAGCGGUGAAAUGCGUAGAUAUCGAGAGGAACACCAGAGGUGAAGACGGGUUGCUGGGCCGACACUGACGCUGACAGCGCGAAAGCCAGGGGAGCAAACGGG